rnacentral:tRNA from 1 species
GCGGGUGUGGUGGAACUGGUAGACGCGCCAGACUCAAAAUCUGGUGUCCCUAGGACGUGUCGGUUCGAGUCCGACCACCCGCACCA